rnacentral:rRNA from 1 species
GGAUGUUUCGUAUAUUUCGAUGUAUCGAAGCUCUUAUAAACAAGAUAGGGUAUUCCUAUAUAGCUGGUGGGACCACGGUAAAUCGAUCAUAAAGUUUUCGAAAAAGAAUAGAUAUGAUUGCAUUGCAUGUAGUUACGGAUGCGAUCAUACCGCAGUUAAGCGUGCUUGGGCGAGAGUAGUACUAGGAUGGGUGACAUCCAAGAAAGUCCUCGUGUGUCAUCCCUCUUUUUUUU